UACGUAGGUGUCGAGCGUUGUCCGGAUUUAUUGGGCGUAAAGCGCCCGCAGGCGGCUUGGCAAGUUCGAGGUGAAAUCUCCCGGCUCAACUGGGAGGGUGCCUCGGAAACUGCCAGGCUUGAGGCAGGGAGAGGAGAGUGGAAUUCCUGGUGUAGCGGUGGAAUGCGCAGAUAUCAGGAAGAACACCCGUGGCGAAGGCGGCUCUCUGGAACGCAACUGACGCUGAGACGCGAAAGCGUGGGGAGCAAACAGG
rnacentral:rRNA from 1 species